UCCUCUCCCAAGAGAAGAAUAUUCAGAAACUUAAUGAGCUCGUGCAGAGUCUUCGGGAACAGUUGCAACAAUGCAGGGGUGAAAGUGACAUUUCCAAUGGCACAGCAACCUCUUUGACUGAACUUCUAACUGAGCUUGAGCGUCAUCCAAUAUUGGAGGACUAGUUAUGGGUCAGACGUGUUAAAUCAAUAUUUUAAUAUUUUGAAGUAAGAAAACCUUGUUUCCUUUCUACGCUGUCUUGCUUCAUUGUAAGGUUCUAUCAACAUUGUUACAAUUUUUGAUUAUGUGAAGGUAAACCAAGAUGCUUCAAUCACUGGCGCAAUUAUUACUUGAAGUUCUUCAGAGUCUUCAUUGAGGGUAAGAACCUUAUCAAGAUGCCAGUUGAAAAUUAAUCUUCAGGAAAUUUAGAACUUCUACAUUUAUGGAAAGUGUUGAUUCCUGUUAGUUUGUUGUUGUAGGAUCCAAGAUUUUUAUGUCAUUUAUAUUUGCUGUUUCGUUUA